CUAGAAUAUCAUUUAUCUUUCAUAUAGAUUUUGGAAGGUUAUGGUGUUGAAGACCAAUAUAUAUGUGCACUGGGUUAUGGCCCAUCAAAAAGUGUGAGUUGUUAUAAGGGAUUUAUAGUGAAUGGUUAUAAAUUUCACACCAAGGAAUACGCACAAGGUAGAACCACAUGCAACAGUGGUGUAUGUGUCAAGGAAGUAUUUUUGGAGAGGC
rnacentral:lncRNA from 1 species